UUGGCUUGGACGAUUUUGGAGAGCUCAAGGAGGGAUUUUCACCAAGCAACACUAGGUAAGUGAUUUCUUCCUAUUUUUGAGUUAAAUAUGUGAUCUUACAUGGAUUUAGACAUGACAAGCAGUAGAAAAAGGUGGAGUUAGGGCUUGAGAUUACGAGACCUUCUAGGGGUGAUUUGAGGGGUCAAACGAGCUCCGAUUUUUUAGUUCUUUAUAUGUACGGACUCGUGAGAUGAUGAAGAACAUUUUGGUAUAAAGUUUGUCCAGUUCCAGGAUGCAGGCUCGAGGGCCGGGUUUUGACUGAUUUCAGGUUUUCUGUUUAAAAUCGAUAUUUUUCAAUUGGAAGUCAUUCAUUUAGCAUAAUUUGAUGAUAAAAAUCUGAACUUGGUAGAUUUGGAGCACUUGGAAGUUGGGUCGAGAGUCAAGCGUGUUGCAGAGUAGCUUUUCGGGCUAGUUCGAGGUAAGUAAUGAUUGUAAAUGUUGUCCUGAAGGUAUAAAACCCCGGGUUUCACAUCAUUGUGCUACUUUGAGGUGACACACACGCUAGAUGACGAGCGUGAGAUCGUGCACCGUUGGAGAUUGUGACUUAGUCCGUCCUGUAUGACUGUUAAACCGCGUAUUUGAUUGAAAACUGUUUGAUAUCAUUGUGUUUUGGAAAGUAUUAUCAUGUUUUGGGCUGGAUGCCAUAUUUGGGUCUCGUGCCAACUGUUUUGGACCCUUAGGGGAUUUUUACUGCUAUUUCUCACUGUUUUGACUUCAUAUUUGUAGUCAGUCAUGUUGUAUUCUAUUGUUUUCAUAACUCAUCCAUAUUACUCCGUUUUGAUAUUUUAAAUGAUAUUUUGGGCCGAG
rnacentral:lncRNA from 1 species